rnacentral:rRNA from 1 species
UACGUAGGGUGCGAGCGUUACUCGGAAUUACUGGGCGUAAAGCGUGCGCAGGCGGUUUGCUAAGACAGGUGUGAAAUCCCCGGGCUUAACCUGGGAACUGCGCUUGUAACUGGCAAGCUAGAGUGUGGCAGAGGGGGGUGGAAUUCCACGUGUAGCAGUGAAAUGCGUAGAGAUGUGGAGGAACACCGAUGGCGAAGGCAGCCCCCUGGGCUAACACUGACGCUCAUGCACGAAAGCGUGGGGAGCAAACAGG